UACGUAGGCAGCAAGCGUUGUUCGGAGUUACUGGGCGUAAAGGGUGCGUAGGCGGCUUUUUAAGUUUGGUGUGAAAUCUCCCGGCUCAACUGGGAGGGUGCGCCGAAUACUGAGAGGCUAGAGUGUGGGAGAGGAAAGUGGAAUUCCUGGUGUAGCGGUGAAAUGCGCAGAUAUCAGGAGGAACACCGGUGGCGAAGGCGGGUCUCUGGGCCGAUACUGACGCUGAGGAGCGAAAGCGUGGGGAGCGAACAGG
rnacentral:rRNA from 1 species